AGUAUGUGCUUUAAUUCGUUGCAACGUGAAGAACAUCACCUCGGCUGGCCAUCAUGAGAACCCUCCUUAAUCGGAGGGGUCCCUCUCGGAGAAUUCAUUGACAGGUGCUGCAUGGUUGUCCUCAGCUCCAGCCGUGAGGUGUUGGAAUAAGUUCCUCAACGAGCGCAACCCCUAUUGUCAGGGGCCAUCACAUAAUGCAGGGCACUCCAGUGAGACUUCCCGGGUCAACCGGGAGGAAGGUGCGGACGCCGUCAAGUCAUCAUGGCCCUUACGCCUAGGGCUACUCACGUCCUACAAUGGCCCAUACAAAGGGCACAGAAACCGGGAGGUCGAGCCAAUCCCAGAAAAUGCAUCCCAGUCCGGAUCGGAUUUUUCAACUCGACUCCGAGAAGUUCGAAUCGUUCGUAAUCCCCGAUCAGCAUCCCGGGGUGAAUACGUUCCCGGGCCUUGUACACCCCGCCCGUCACACCCCGAAAGCUGGUUCUUCCCGACAACGGCAGGACUAACCCUU
rnacentral:rRNA from 1 species